rnacentral:rRNA from 1 species
GACGUAGGGCGCGAGCGUUGUCCGGAAUUAUUGGGCGUAAAGAGCUCGUAGGCGGUUUGUCGCGUCGAAUGUGAAAUCCCGGGGCUCAACCCCGGGCCUGCAUUCGAUACGGGCAGACUAGAGUUCGGUAGGGGAGUCUGGAAUUCCUGGUGUAGCGGUGAAAUGCGCAGAUAUCAGGAGGAACACCGGUGGCGAAGGCGGGACUCUGGGCCGAUACUGACGCUGAGGAGCGAAAGCCAGGGGAGCGAACGGG